rnacentral:rRNA from 1 species
UGCGUAGGUGGCGCUGCAAGUCAGAUGUGAAAUCCCCGGGCUUAACUCGGGGGUGCAUUUGAAACUGCGGUGCUUGAGUGCAGGAGAGGAAAGCGGAAUUCCUAGUGUAGCGGUGAAAUGCGUAGAUAUUAGGAAGAACACCAGUGGCGAAGGCGGCUUUCUGGACUGUAACUGACGCUGAUGCACGAAAGCGUGGGGAGCAAACAG